rnacentral:misc_RNA from 1 species
GCAAACUUGGUCAUUUAGAGGAAGUAAAAGUCGUAACAAGGUUUCCGUAGGUGAACCUGCGGAAGGAUCAUUACUGGGUUUUGAGCUCCGGCUCGUCCACCCACCCUUUGUCAUUGCAAAUGAUCGUUUCGGUCGUUGGUUCCGCCCAUGACCGGCAUUGCAAAUCCUCUGAAUAUCUGAAGUCUGUCUUUUUUUAUACAAAUAAAAAAAAACUUUCAACAACGGAUCUCUUGGUUCUGGCAUCGAUGAAGAACGCAGC